rnacentral:lncRNA from 1 species
GGCCGAGUCUUCUACCAAAAUAUCGUCAGAGCCCCCCUCGAAAAAUGAAAAGUUCCCAAAUUUGUCCACCUAUAAAACAAGACAUUUAAAAUCCCAACUGGCAGCACAUACAAUGCUAAAGCACACAGUUUACAAAAUAGGCCUCUGGCCUCAAUUUCAACCCUACAUGGGCAAUACCAGAGCAAUCUAAGAAAUUUUUUAGUUUACACAACCAACGUAGUUUCG